rnacentral:rRNA from 1 species
UGCAAGUCGAGGGGAAACGGCAUUAAGUGCUUGCACUUUUUGGACGUCGACCGGCGCACGGGUGAGUAACGCGUAUCCAACCUGCCCCUUACCAGGGAAUAACCCGUUGAAAGACGGACUAAUGCCCUAUGGAGUCCUUUGAUGGCAUCAGAUUAGGACUAAAGAUUCAUCGGUAUGGGAUGGGGAUGCGUCUGAUUAGCUUGUUGGCGGGGUAACGGCCCACCAAGGCAUCGAUCAGUAGGGGUUCUGAGAGGAAGGUCCCCCACAUAGGAACUGAGACACGGUCCUAACUCCUACGGGAGGCAGCAGUGAGGAAUAUUGGUCAAUGGGCGGUAGCCUGAACCAGCCAAGUAGCGUGCAGGACGACGGCCCUAUGGGUUGUAAACUGCUUUUAUGCGGGGAUAAAGUCACCCACGUGUGGGUGUUUGCAGGUACCGCAUGAAUAAGGACCGGCUAAUUCCGUGCCAGCAGCCGCGGUAAUACGGAAGGUCCGGGCGUUAUCCGGAUUUAUUGGGUUUAAAGGGAGUGUAGGCGGCCUGUUAAGCGUGUUGUGAAAUGUAGAUGCUCAACAUCUGAACUGCAGCGCGAACUGGCUGGCUUGAGUACACGCAACGUGGGCGGAAUUCAUGGUGUAGCGGUGAAAUGCUUAGAUAUCAUGAGGAACUCCUAUUGCGAAGGCAGCUCACGGGAGUGUCACUGACGCUUAAGCUCGAAGGUGCGG